rnacentral:rRNA from 1 species
UACGUAGGGUCCGAGCGUUGUCCGGAAUUACUGGGCGUAAAGAGCUCGUAGGUGGUUUGUCGCGUUGUUCGUGAAAACUCACAGCUCAACUGUGGGCGUGCGGGGGAUACGGGCAGACUGGAGUACUGCAGGGGAGACUGGAAUUCCUGGUGUAGCGGUGGAAUGCGCAGAUAUCAGGAGGAACACCGGUGGCGAAGGCGGGUCUCUGGGCAGUAACUGACGCUGAGGAGCGAAAGCGUGGGGAGCGAACAGG